rnacentral:rRNA from 1 species
ACGCUCGACACCUACGGAGGCAGCAGUGGGGAAUAUUGGGCAAUGGGCGCAAGCCUGACCCAGCAACGCCGCGUGAAGGAAGAAGGCCCUCGGGUUGUAAACUUCUUUUGACAGGGACGAACAAGGUGACGGUACCUGUCGAAUAAGCUCCGGCUAACUACGUGCCAGCAGCCGCGGUAAUCUGAGCGGGCUGGCAAGGC